GUUUGAAUAUUUCUGAAGUUAUAAAUGAAUAUAAAAAGACAUAAUAUGGAGCUCGAAUUUGAUUUUAAUGUUUAAACCAUAAGCCAAGAACUUCCUUAACAUUUGCUAAUAUAUUAUUCACUGGUCUAAAUCCAAAAUUAGUGCUGCUAAGAAAUAGAUGUCUCGGGAUUUUGCCCAAAUUACUCAGCAAUGGGUCAACCUUUCGCAGCCCAGUGUCCACUUUGUCAUUAUACAAAAGCGGAUUCGUUGAAUUAAUGAAAAGAUGUCUACGAAAUAAAAACUAAGCACCAGCAAAAAGGAAAAAUCCACUGCAACCUGAGCUGGUUAGAAGCGGUGUGAGAUAUUAGCAUGAAAUUCGCAUAAAAGAAUUCUGCCGUUAAGGUGUUAGCCGGGAACAGUUGCAGAUGCCUUGAUCGCUCUGCUCGUUCGCAUUGUGUAAACUGGUUUAAUUGAAUUGUUAUAUCAUCGGCUUCAUCAUCAUCGAUGCCAGCCUGAGUUCUUUUCAUUCGCGGCCCACAGCGAAGCAGCCAACAUAUGAGUCAGGCCAGCAGAUAUAUCUAAAUAUAAGUAUAUCUGAAUAACUUAA